ACCUAGCAGACGUCUCCCCAGUCAGCCGUGGGAUCCGGUCAGAUGCAGCCCUUAUGAGUCAGAAUGGACCCAGUCCGAUUCCAGCAGUUUCCAGGCGCAGUCUGGGGAGAGAAACGCUCAAGUGAAGCCUGAAAGCUCGUGAACGCAAAAACUGCGAAGCCGGGAUCCUGAGAGGGACUCACACCACCUCGAGAGGCGGCGACGGAGCCUCGGGUUCAACAGUUGGACAGGACUGUUCCACAUGAUCUCCCAUUCUCUCUACCAUCUGUGCAGCUGGAAGCAAAAGGCUCCAAGAUGGCAAGGCCAUAGGACAGGAGGCAUCCUGACCCAUAAGCCGCUUGGGGGAGAGGUGCCCAAGGCCACCAGCAGUGGACUUUGCCUGUGUGACAGAUAUAUCUUUGUUGGGCUAAGGCACGGAUAGGCAGAGGUGGCUUAUUUCAGAGGCUGGUAUUAACUGUUCUAACACAGGUCUCAAAACUGUGAAGCUUUUUGUUGAUGCAAAUAAAGAGAUACACAUUUUAAACAUUA